GUCGACCGCGUGGCUGGAAGACAUGGCCACUCCCGUCGGUGUUGAGCACGGCGAGCAGUCUCAGGCCUUUAGUGAUGAUGGUAAGGCUGCCUGAGUGGGAAAACGGGGUCUUCCUUGACACGACACUAACAUACUUGGCUUCCCUUCCUCAGAGACGAAGUGGUGACGAUAAUCUCGGUUUCUCCCUCAUAGGGUGGUUAGGAGGGUUAAAAGUACUGGAUGAGAAAAUGCUUUCCAAACGUUGAGAAAAUGUUACUAUGUGAAGGGAGAGAGCUCAAGCCUGUCCUCGGCGUCAUAGGGCCGGCUUCUGCGGGGGAGAGCGCCUAACAACCUGGGCAGCCCCGUGCGCCUCCGCCGCGCGUGUGCUGAGCGUGCAUGCCCAGGGGUCUUCGGUGCCCGCGCACGGGCAGACUCUGACGAUGGUGGUUCUUAAUUCAGCAUCAGGAGUGUUAACGUGUGAAGACGUGAUUCCGCUUGGAGUGCCUUGAGGACGGCCCCAAUCGGUAGUUCAUAUUUAGCUUUACAGAUAGGAGUCAAUAGGAUUGUAAACUUCUGGAAAGCCGUAGUUUUAACAACGAGCCUUUUUUCCUCCCCCAGAGGCCUUUCUUUGUUUGGCAUCUGCAGAGACGGUGAAAAGCAGAGCUCCAGGUUGAAGGAUCAGAGUAAUAGAUGGAGCCCUUAACAUGAGUAAGAGUGGGUGCAGGCAGGGCCUGAGUGGUCACUAGAAAUGAGAAAGCACAGUUGGUGCCAUCACAUACCUUCACCUCCUGCUUUAUUCUGAAGUUCAAGUAUGAGAAUACGUGUUGACAUACAAGCCAGCUAUGGUAAGAAGUUACUCAAAAUUCAGAAUGCUAAUUAUUUUAAUGAUAAAAAUGAGUAGGGUCUUUGCCCGUGUAAUUUGGGGCCACUAGGUGUCAUUGUAACCAACGUGGAUCCUCGUUAGGGCAUGCAGGGAUGAAAGAGACAUGGCAAAUGAAUUUUGGAUCGCUAGGAUUUAGGAAUCUUUGUUAUUGGCUGAGCUGAGGAUGAUUUAAAGUUAUCCCUGUCUGAAAUGGUAUCUUUUGUGAGGACUGACUUGCUGAGGCUCAGCUGUUUAAUACAAAUCUGGAGAAUAAACCUUAAUUAAGGUGGUUUCUGUUAGAAUGAAGCCUGUUAUCCUUCUCUUUUAGAUUAAAGGUGUUGGCUGUGGCCUUGAAAACAGUCAUGUGAAAACUCAUCACCUUAAGGUGUUAAGUGUAAGGAUCUUCAUGAUGAAAUUUCUGUAAAUGGUGCAGUCAGCCUCAGUUUCCAAAGCCAGAAAAGGAUCCUCUAGAAGCCACGGUGUGGCAGCUGCUCUGAACCAGGACCUGGACCCGGACCCAAAGUGCCAUGUCUUCAAUGUUAGCUCCCAGCGAUGCCAGAUGGGAUCAGCACAGCCCUGCCUCUGCUGCUAAUUGUUCCUCUAAAGUAAUCGCCAUGCGUUCUUCGGGCUUCACCUUUAAAGGAAUGAAGCAACUGAGAUUAUUCUGGAAAACCUUUUGGCGAUUGGUGAAAUUAGAGUACAACUAAGAACAUUUUCAGACCUCCACUGUGGAUGACCUGGGUAUAAUCUCACAAAUCGAUGGGACUGCAAGGAUUGUAAACUGAAAUGAACAUGAUUAUACUCUGUUGGAAGAGCCUAAGAGGAAACUGAUGCCAUGAGUUUCAGAGAGUAAUGCUUAACCCCAGUUACACAGGAUGCCGUCUUGUGUUUCCUCUUGUUUAGUUACCCACUACAGUGAUUUUGUGAUCUGCUAAUGGGUUGCCACCCACAACCAUUGCUUUAGCACUUUUCCUUCAAAUCAAUGAAGGAUUGAUAAAAGUUCUCCUGGUGUCUCCGCAGAGUGGCUUCCAGGAACAGAUCUUUGCAUAGAAUAUCAGUGGUUUCCUUUUUUGUUUCAAAUAGUGGUCAGAAAAUACCCAGUGUUGACUCACCAAGGCAAUCAGCUUCCUUUUUCCCUUUUUUUUUUUUUUUUUUUAAAUUUUAUAUUUUUGCUUUAUUUUAUUUUAUUUUGUUUAUUUUUUGAGACGGAGUUCCACUCUGUCGCCAGGCUGGAGUGAAGUGGUACAAUCUUGGCUCACUGCAACCUCCACCUCCCGGGUUCAAGCAAUUCUCCUGGCUCAGCCUCCUGAGUGCUGGGACUACAGGCACGUACCUUCUUUAGUAGAGACUGGGUUUCACCAUGUUGGCCAGGAUGGUCUCUAUCUCCUGACCUUGUGAUCUGCCUGCCUCAGCUUCCCAAAGUGCUGAGAUUACAGGCGUGAGCCAUCAGACCCAGCAUUUUUUUUUAAUUUUAAUUUUAAUUUUUUCAUUUUUUUGAGAGGUUUUUUGUUUUGUUUUGUUUUUGUUGUUGUUUUUGAGACAGUCUUGCUCUGUCACCCAGGCUGGGAGUGCAGUGGCAUGAUCUCUGCAACCUCUACCUCCCAGGUUCAAGCAAUUCUUGUGCCGCAGCCUCCCAAGUAACUGGGACUACAGGUGCACACUACCACACCUGGCUGAUUUUUUAUGUUUUAGUAGAGACAGGGUUUCAACCAUGUUGCCCAGGUUGGUCUCAAACUCCCGAGCUCAGGCAAUCCACCCGCCUUGGCCUCCCAAAGUGCUAGGAUUACAGGUGUGAGCCACCACACCCAUCUAUUUUUUCUUUCGUUUUUUAAUUUUAAAGUUGGGGGGGGUUUCAAUUUGUUACCCUGGCUGGUCUCGAACUCCUGGACUUAAGCGAUCCUCUGGCUCCAAGCCCACUACUAGUCUCAGGUUUCUUUACUAAAAGAUCACUACCUUUUUUUCUCUUAUCUGCUGCCAUGUGAGAUGUGGCUUUCACCUUCCGCCAUGAUUGUGAGGCCUUCCCAGCCACGUGGAACUGUAAGUCCAAUAAACCUCUUUUGUAAAAAAAAAAAAAAAAAAUCACUAUUUAAGAUACUAGGAUGGAUUGUGACUGUUGAGGAGUACUUACAUAUCCUACAUUUGACUACAUUCUUUCCAAACCAAGUAUUCUAUCCAAAGGAACAUACUGCUAUCAUAGAGACCAAGGAGGGACUGUUUAAGGUUGCCAAGGUGAAGCGAGCUGAGAGGCUUUGUCCUCGUGCCAGUAACUCUGAAAUCUCUCUUAAUUCCUGCUGUCCAGGCAGCAGAAUGCCAUGGUUUCCCCAAGUAGGUAGCUGCUUUAGCAAUUAAAGCCCAAAUGUCUGUUCUGUUGAUCAGAGGUCUCUGAAUUUCUGAAGUGGUGUUUCGUUUCUGGUGACUGAGUUAAUCCUUUACAAUCCCUCUUGUAAAGUGUGCUAAUAGAAAGAAUCCACCUUUCAAAGCUGCAGAACCAGACCGUUUCCUAAAUUGACCAACGUAACUGAUGUGCCUCGGGAAGUCUCUUGGCAGCUGUCCCUGUGAAGACCCCCCUCCUGCCCCCCCAGCUGCUGCCUUGCACACUGAAGCAUCUCAGACUGUGCAAAGCCAUGUAGUCAUCAAGACAGUAAAUCCCAGGGCUUGGUUAAGUGCUGUGUGAUAACUUGUUUGGAUGAGACUUAACUUAAAACCACUUACAAUAAACUUGGGAAACUACCGUCA
rnacentral:lncRNA from 1 species